AUUGAACGCUAACGGCAUACUUAACACAUGCAAGUCGAACGGCAGCACAGUAGUAGCAAUACUAUGGGUGGCGAGUGGCGGACGGGUGAGUAAUACAUAGGAAUCUGCCUUAUAGUGGGGAUAACCCGGGGAAACUCGGGCUAAUACCGCAUAAUCUCUACGGAGCAAAGUGUGGGACCUUCGGGCCAUACGCUAAAAGAUGAGCCUAUGUCGGAUUAGCUAGUUGGUGGGGUAAAGGCCUACCAAGGCAACGAUCCGUAGCUGGUCUGAGCGGAUGAUCAGCCACGCUGGGACUGAGACACGGCCCAGACUCCUACGGGAGGAAGCAGUGGGGAAUAUUGGACAAUGGGCGAAAGCCUGAUCCAGCAAUGCCGUGUGUGUGAAGAAGGCCUUCGGGUUGUAAAGCACUUUUAGUUGGGAAGAAAAGUUCAUGGCUAAUAUCCGUGAAUGCUGACGUUACCAACAGAAAAAGCACUGGCUAACUCUGUGCCAGCCGCCGCAGUAA
rnacentral:rRNA from 1 species